rnacentral:rRNA from 1 species
GUACACACCGCCCGUCGCUACUACCGAUUGAAUGGCUUAGUGAGACCUUCGAAUUGGCAGAGUCGGCCGCAAGGCAAGAAUCUGCUGAGAAGUUGGUCAAACUUGGUCAUUUAGAGGAAGUAAAAGUCGUAACAAGGUAUCUGUAGGUGA